rnacentral:RNase_P_RNA from 1 species
GGAAUCAGGGCAGUCGCCCUCAGCUUGUCUGAGGGAGGAAAGUCCGGACACCGCAGGAUAAUCCGCCCUAGGAAAGCUGGGGGCAGCUCCGAUGCAAAUCGGAGUUGACGGAAAGUGUCACAGAAAAAAUACCGCCCUGCGCAAGUGGGGUAAGGGUGAAAAGGCGGGGUAAGAGCCCACCGCUCUUGGGGUAACCCAAGGGAAUGACAAACCACGGAUGGUGCAAGGCCGAACAGGGGGAAUGGGUGAUCCGCCCGUCAUGCGUAAGCAUGACACUCCCGGGUUGGAGCUGCAUCGGUGCAGUGGCAACACUGCAACGGAAUCCACCUUCGGGUGGGUUAGAGAAAUGGCUGCCAGCUCACCAAGGAAACUUGGUGGGCCACAGAAUCCGGCUUACGGAUUCCACAG